CCUGAGUGACCAUAAGAGCAGGAGCCAGGAUCCACCCCUUCCAAGACCUCACUAAAGGGGAGGCAGUGGAGGUAAGGGGAUCUUGCUGGAGAUCCUGUGUGUGUGAGGCCUUCCAUAGGAUGGCAUCUCUCAAGUCUCUUAUGAAAUUUCUUUUCGACUGCCUUCCUUGAGCUGGAAAAAUGAAAAAUGGAUCUUCUAAACACAGUGCCUCUACUUCUUCAAUAAUACACUGAAUCAUGUGAACUGGGAGGUCUCUGAGAAGCUGGGUGCUCCUUUCCAUGUAACUGGAGUGAGAAUGUCCUGCACAAGUGGUGGAAAGAUAGGAAAUUGAAAAGUUCUAGUUUGUGUUUGCCUGGCGCUUUGCCCUGGAUGAGGACUGAGUCCAUGGUGUGUUUUGUGGUUAGACUGCUUUUUGAAGUCCAGGCAGAACUUCAAGAGAGUGGAUAACAUAUUAGUAUGAAUUUUACCGGUCUCUUUUCAUCCACUUGUUAAAAAAAACAAAAAACAAAACCCA